rnacentral:rRNA from 1 species
AGAGUUUGAUCAUGGCUCAGGAUGAACGCUAGCGGCAGGCUUAACACAUGCAAGUCGAGGGGUAACAGGGAGCUUGCUUCGCUGACGACCGGCGCACGGGUGCGUAACGCGUAUGAAACCUACCUUAUACAGGGGGAUAGCCCGAAGAAAUUCGGAUUAAUACCCCAUAGUUCUAUUUUGCCGCAUGGUAAGAUAGAUAAAGCUUUGGUGGUAUAAGAUGGUCAUGCGUAUGAUUAGCUAGUUGGUGAGGUAAUGGCUCACCAAGGCGACGAUCAUUAGGGGUUCUGAGAGGAAGAUCCCCCACACUGGUACUGAGACGCGGACCAGACUCCUACGGGAGGCAGCAGUGAGGAAUAUUGGUCAAUGGGCGAGAGCCUGAACCAGCCAUGCCGCGUGAAGGAUGACUGCCCUAUGGGUUGUAAACUUCUUUUCUAUAGGGAUAAAAAGCGGAACGUGUUCUGCCUUGCAGGUACUAUAGGAAUAAGCACCGGCUAACUCCGUGCCAGCAGCCGCGGUAAUACGGAGGGUGCGAGCGUUAUCCGGAUUUAUUGGGUUUAAAGGGUGCGUAGGCGGUCUUAUAAGUCAGUGGUGAAAUUCUGUGACUCAACCAUAGAAGUGCCAUUGAAACUGUAGGACUUGAAUUUAUUUGAGGUAUGCGGAAUGUGUAAUGUAGCGGUGAAAUGCUUAGAUAUUACACAGAACACCGAUUGCGAAGGC